AAAAAAAAAAAAAAGGCUGCGAGAGCUUGGGGGGCUGGGCCUCACGUAAACCAGGCAGGAGAGAUGUUUCCAAGAUAGGAUCAUUUCACACCAGAACUCAUAUACUGAAACCCUAAUUAAUAUUGAAAAGUCUGUGCUCUGCCAUGUCCUCAAAUCCAUGGAAUUUGGGUAAGGAAACUCAACUAUCCAAUGUGUUUCUCCCACACGUCCACAGAGCUGAUGCUUCCACCGCACCUAUUCUUUUGUAAAAAUACAACUGUUGCAACA